rnacentral:rRNA from 1 species
AACAGGAUUAGAUACCCUGGUAGUCCACGCCGUAAACGAUGGAUACUAGCUGUUCGGAGCAAUCUGAGUGGCUAAGCGAAAGUGAUAAGUAUCCCACCUGGGGAGUACGUUCGCAAGAAUGAAACUCAAAGGAAUUGACGGGGGCCCGCACAAGCGGAGGAGCAUGUGGUUUAAUUCGAUGAUACGCGAGGAACCUUACCAGGGCUUAAAUGGGAGACGACAGUUUGGGAAACCAGAUUUUCUUCGGACGUCUUUCAAGGUGCUGCAUGGUUGUCGUCAGCUCGUGCCGUGAGGUGUCAGGUUAAGUCCUAUAACGAGCGCAACCCCUAUCGUUAGUUGCCAGCGGGUCAUGCCGGGAACUCUAACGAGACUGCCAGUGCAAACUGUGAGGAAGGUGGGGAUGACGUCAAAUCAUCACGGCCCUUACGUCCUGGGCUACACACGUGCUACAAUGGGCGGUACAGAGAGCAGCCACUACGCAAGUAGGCGCGAAUCUUCAAAACCGUUCUCAGUUCGGAUCGGAGUCUGCAACUCGACUCCGUGAAGCUGGAUUCGCUAGUAAUCGCAUAUCAGCCAUGAUGCGGUGAAUACGUUCCCGGGCCUUGUACACACCGCCCGUCAAGCCAUGGAAGCUGGGGGUACCUGAAGUCGGUGACCGCAAGGAGCUGCCUAGGGUAAAACUGGUAACUGGGGCUAAGUCGUAACAAGGUAACC